GUUUAUGUAGUUUAAAAAAAACAUUACAUUUUCAAUGUAAUAAUGGGAAAAUAAUUUCCUAUAAAUA
rnacentral:tRNA from 2 species